rnacentral:pre_miRNA from 1 species
UGGACAGAUUAUUGUAUUCGACUGUAUUCACGACGUGAUAUAGGGAUUACACUAUUUUUAAAACGGAAAGUGAAUCAACUAACAUAAUAGACUCCU